CAUGAUGUCAGGUACGGCUUCUACCGGCAAAGGAGCUUGAAGUCUAAAGCGUUUGACCUUGUGUUUGUAAGAGGUAUAGUUAAAUGAAAACUGGUGCUCCUUUACUUGGAAAUUCUGUCAUUUUGACAGGGGGUUAGGCCCCCAAUCUAAUAAGUUGGUGUUCCAUGAAUGUCAGUUCAAGAUGCACCAAAGGAUCCUCCCCUGCCAGGAUUCGUGGCCCUAGUUGAUGCUAUGUUCUGUUUUAUUACCUCCUUCCUGCCCCCUAAGCUAAUAUUUUGAGAGUGUGGGAUUCAUAUUUGUGCACUCCGAUUUUCAUGGCUCUGGUCUUCUGUUUUCACUAUGCUUUCUCUCUAGCAAGUAUCAAAACUAGUGAGAAUCAAGAUUUUGUUGUGUUUAUUAUUAAGCUCAAUGUAUACG
rnacentral:lncRNA from 1 species